rnacentral:rRNA from 1 species
UACGGGGGGGGCAAGCGUUGUUCGGAAUUACUGGGCGUAAAGGGCUCGUAGGCGGCCAACUAAGUCGGACGUGAAAUCCCUCGGCUUAACCGGGGAACUGCGUCUGGUACUGGAUGGCUUGAAUCCGGGAGAGGGAUGCGGAAUUCCAGGUGUAGCGGUGAAAUGCGUAGAUAUCUGGAGGAACACCGGUGGCGAAGGCGGCAUCCUGGACCGGCAUUGACGCUGAGGAGCGAAAGCCAGGGGAGCAAACGGG